CAGAAAAAAAAGGCCUCCACGCUACCAAACGCGCGCCCCUAGAGUAUACUCCCGUUCCCCUGUUCCCUUCUCUGUCCACCCGUCCUGAGAAUUCCCUUUGCUUCGAUCCAUCAAAAGGAAAAAAAGAGCGUCCUCCGAUCCGAGGCACGCCGCACUCCCACCGCUUGAAUCGAAGGGACUCAGCGCCAGUUCCUCCUGCGCUCAAUUGGAUUGGCGUGGAUUAAAGAUCCAUCUGGGCGGGAUUUCUUUGUUGAUACAUUCGCAAAUCAGGUUCGUGAUCAUCAGUAAGGAAGAGAGAUGCAGGCAUCUAGAGCUAGGCUCUUCAAGGAGUACAAGGAGGUGCAGCGAGAAAAGUCAGCGGACCCAGAUAUCCAAUUAAUCUGCGAUGAUUCAAAUAUAUUCAAGUGGACUGCUCUAAUCAAGGGCCCAUCAGAGACACCUUUUGAAGGCGGUGUAUUUCAACUCGCAUUCUCAAUUCCUGAGCAGUACCCUCUGCUGCCUCCACAAGUCCGCUUCAUGACCAAAAUUUUCCACCCAAAUGUUCACUUCAAGACAGGUGAAAUAUGCUUGGAUAUAUUGAAAAAUGCUUGGAGCCCUGCAUGGACCUUACAAUCUGUUUGCAGAGCCAUAAUUGCUUUGAUGGCACAUCCAGAAGCAGAUAGCCCACUUAACUGUGACUCAGGUAAUCUCCUGCGCUCAGGCGAUAUUAGAGGCUAUCAAUCUAUGGCACGGAUGUAUACUAGGCUAGCUGCCAUGCCAAAGAAAGAUUAGUUCCAGGGUUGCAGAAGUAAACCAGAGCCAUGGUGGUGUCUGGUUCAUGUAUCACUCGCAAGCUGUCAGGAUAUACGUGUACAGUUGAGUACCAGAACACAACAGAUUGCACAAACAUGGCUAUCCAAGAGGCAGGCCACUUUGUUGUGUAAACCAAUCAGCACCGUUGACUUCUUUUAUUAAUUAAACGAUUGUUCCAAUCGAAUUACAUCUGUAACACUGGUCGAGAACAAAGAAAAGGAAACCCAAGAAACAAGUUGUUCUUUUUUCUAAUAUACGGUAUCAGAAACAAACGACUUGACACCUGUUUCCUCUCUAGGAGAAGGCCGUGGGAGGCAUCUUCUUGUCACCCAAGAAGCUUCUGAAGAGGCUCAGCGCCUGCCUCGGCGUGUGCAUAGGGACCUCGUGGCCGGCUCCGCGGAUCGUCACGAACGUCAGGCCUUCGUAGUUGAUCGUCCACCCACCCACCUAUUUUAAGAAGAAAUG